AAAGUCCUGCUAGGCUGUUACGCAACGUCAUCUGUAUUAGGGGGGUUGCAGUGUGAAGAGUUAUUCAAGUUGGACGACACACAUGUUUAGCUCCAGCUAUUUUGGCGGUCGCCAGAGAGGUGUCCAGUGUUCGAUCAAGGCAUCUUGGCCAGUCUUCGCACGACAGUACCAGUAUCAAUUCUGACUAUCUGACCAGCAUGGCAGCCAUGAUAUCGUCAGCCUGACCUGGUGUGUCGCUAUUGCAAGAGGAAGAAAAAGAGAAAGCUCAGUUAUUAUACACGUUACUAUAAGGUUAUAAAAACGA